rnacentral:rRNA from 1 species
UACGGGGGGAGCAAGCGUUGUUCGGAUUUAUUGGGUUUAAAGGGUGCGUAGGCGGUUUUUUAAGUCAGUGCUGAAAUACUCCAGCUUAACUGGAGGGGUGGCAUUGAUACUGGAAGACUUGAGUACAGAUGAGGUAGGCGGAAUUCCCGGUGUAGCGGUGAAAUGCGUAGAUAUCCGAAGGAACAUCAGUGGCGAAAGCGGCUUCCUGGACCAGAACUGACGAUCAGGCACGAAAGCGUGGGGAGCAAACAGG